rnacentral:rRNA from 1 species
CAGCCGCCGCGGUAAUACCGGCGGCCCGAGUGGCGGCCACUAUUAUUGGGCUUAAAGCGUCCGUAGCCGGGUUGGUUAGUCUCCCGGGAAAUCUGGCCGCUUAACGGUCAGAAUUCCGGGAGAUACUGCCAGCCUAGGGACCGGGAGAGGCCGAGGGGAUUCCCGGAGUAGGGGUGAAAUCCUAUAAUCCCGGGAGGACCACCUGGGGCGAAGGCGCUCGGCUGGAACGGGUCCGACGGUGAGGGACGAAGGCCAGGGGAGCAAACCGGAUUAGAUGCCCGGGUAGUCCUGGCUGUAAACGAUGCGGUCUUUGUGUCGGACAAGCUAUGAGCUUGUCCGGUGCCGGAGGGAAACCGUUAAGUCCGCCGCCUGGGGAGUACGGCCGCAAGGCUGAAACUUAAAGGAAUUGGCGGG